rnacentral:tRNA from 1 species
CCUGGUGGCUCAGAGGGUAGAGCAUCUGCCUGCAAUGUGGGAGACCUGGGUUCGAUCCCUGGGUCAGGA